UACAUUUGAGUGAGUGGCGAACUGGUGAGUAACACGUGGGAAACCUGCCCAGAAGCGGGGGAUAACACCUGGAAACAGAUGCUAAUACCGCAUAACAACUUGGACCGCAUGGUCCGAGUUUGAAAGAUGGCUUCGGCUAUCACUUUUGGAUGGUCCCGCGGCGUAUUAGCUAGAUGGUGGGGUAACGGCUCACCAUGGCAAUGAUACGUAGCCGACCUGAGAGGGUAAUCGGCCACAUUGGGACUGAGACACGGCCCAAACUCCUACGGGAGGCAGCAGUAGGGAAUCUUCCACAAUGGACGAAAGUCUGAUGGAGCAACGCCGCGUGAGUGAAGAAGGGUUUCGGCUCGUAAAACUCUGUUGUUAAAGAAGAACAUAUCUGAGAGUAACUGUUCAGGUAUUGACGGUAUUUAACCAGAAAGCCACGGCUAACUACGUGCCAGCAGCCGCGGUAAUACGUAGGUGGCAAGCGUUGUCCGGAUUUAUUGGGCGUAAAGCGAGCGCAGGCGGUUUUUUAAGUCUGAUGUGAAAGCCUUCGGCUCAACCGAAGAAGUGCAUCGGAAACUGGGAAACUUGAGUGCAGAAGAGGACAGUGGAACUCCAUGUGUAGCGGUGAAAUGCGUAGAUAUAUGGAAGAACACCAGUGGCGAAGGCGGCUGUCUGGUCUGUAACUGACGCUGAGGCUCGAAAGUAUGGGUAGCAAACAGGAUUAGAUACCCUGGUAGUCCAUACCGUAAACGAUGAAUGCUAAGUGUUGGAAGGGUUUCCGCCCUUCAGUGCUGCAGCUAACGCAUUAAGCAUUCCGCCUGGGGAGUACGGCCGCAAGGCUGAAACUCAAAGGAAUUGACGGGGGCCCGCACAAGCGGUGGAGCAUGUGGUUUAAUUCGAAGCUACGCGAAGAACCUUACCAGGUCUUGACAUACUAUGCAAAUCUAAGAGAUUAGACGUUCCCUUCGGGGACAUGGAUACAGGUGGUGCAUGGUUGUCGUCAGCUCGUGUCGUGAGAUGUUGGGUUAAGUCCCGCAACGAGCGCAACCCUUAUUAUCAGUUGCCAGCAUUAAGUUGGGCACUCUGGUGAGACUGCCGGUGACAAACCGGAGGAAGGUGGGGAUGACGUCAAAUCAUCAUGCCCCUUAUGACCUGGGCUACACACGUGCUACAAUGGAUGGUACAACGAGUUGCGAACUCGCGAGAGUAAGCUAAUCUCUUAAAGCCAUUCUCAGUUCGGAUUGUAGGCUGCAACUCGCCUACAUGAAGUCGGAAUCGCUAGUAAUCGCGGAUCAGCAUGCCGCGGUGAAUACGUUCCCGGGCCUUGUACACACCGCCCGUCACACCAUGAGAGUUUGUAACACCC
rnacentral:rRNA from 1 species